GCACUGGUGGUUCAGUGGUAGAAUUCUCACCUUCCAUACAAGAGACCCAAGUUUGAUUCCUGCUCAGUGCA
rnacentral:tRNA from 1 species